CCGAAGAGAAGAGCGACGAUCACGCUAAGGAUGUCCUUACUGCGCUCACGGAGAGAGCUGAAGACAUCGGACGGCUUGGGUUUCGGUGGUACGACGCUCAAUUGACCGAUCUCGGUGAAGACGGUGACGAAUCCGGUGGAGGAGGAAGGGUCGUUAGGGUUUUCAAAAGAGAAAGAAUAGGAGGCCACGAAGAAUGUCUUGCAGGGUCUAGCGGUGGCUGAUGCCGAAAGGAUGCCCACCGCCAGAAUAGUCACCGCAACCACGAAUUGACUCCACCUUCCCAUUCUUCCUUC
rnacentral:lncRNA from 1 species